rnacentral:tRNA from 1 species
GCGGGCGUGAUGGAAUUGGUAGACAUAUCGGACUUAAAAUCCGUGGGCCAUCGUGCCGUGGGGGUUCGAGUCCCCCCGCCCGCA